rnacentral:rRNA from 1 species
UACGUAGGGCGCAAGCGUUAUCCGGAAUUAUUGGGCGUAAAGAGCUCGUAGGCGGUCUGUCGCGUCUGCUGUGAAAACCUAGGGCUUAACUCUGGGCGUGCAGUGGGUACGGGCAGGCUAGAGUGCGGUAGGGGAGACUGGAAUUCCUGGUGUAGCGGUGAAAUGCGCAGAUAUCAGGAGGAACACCGGUGGCGAAGGCGGGACUCUGGGCCGAUACUGACGCUGAGGAGCGAAAGCGUGGGGAGCAAACAGG